GAGGAAGACACCUGGCAUCCUGUUCUGCCCUCUGCACCCAUGUGUGCCACACACAGUGUCCCCCAUCCUCCCAUGACAUACUUUUUUGAAAGGAAUUUUCUCUCUUCCCAGCUCUGGAAGAGAGACUGUAUUGGAGCUUCCAGGAGAGUAGAAACUGUACUGUGUGUCUGUGUCACUGUUUGUUCAUCACCAGGGGCUGGAAUAGAAGCAUAGCGUGAAAGUUCCGAAGUGACAAAUGUUCCAGAAGAAUGUUUUUUUUUCUCCUUUUGGAUCUUUAAAACUGUGAGGAAAAAAAAUGAAGAACUUGAAUCAGUUGUUGUUUGUCAUGCAUUGAGCACUGCUGGGAAGCAGAGGUGGCAAAGCUGAGAAAACCCGUUUCUCUCCCACUGCUUUCUAGACACAUGGUUAUGGUGGAUUUCUAAGAAGGAGGUUGACAAUGCCGAACUUCGAGUGGCCCAGAAAGGACCAACGAGCCUUCUUAUCUUGAUGUCCUGACUGACAACAUGGCUUUUAUUUCUUCUACUUUGAUGUGUACACAGAACAGUGACAUGCUAUGUUUAUGUGAAUGGAACCCUCUACUUGCGCAGAAUAUUUCAAUUCAUACGUUGCUAGUUUAAAAAAAAUCGUUAUAAAACGAGAACAUGAGAAAACUGCUAAGUCGUUGGGAUUUUUCCCAUGAUGCCCUCUUUCCUGAUGGCACCACAAAGGGGCAUAAAGCCUCUUCUCCAACCUCUGACCACAGCUUACUGAA